rnacentral:rRNA from 1 species
CCCCUAGAUGUUCUGGGCCGCACGCGCGCUACACUGAACAGUUCAACAAGUCUUAACCUUGGCCGAUAGGUCUGGGUAAUCUUUGAACGCUGUUCGUGAUUGGGAUAGACCUUUGCAAUUAUGGGUCUUCAACGAGGAAUUCCUAGUAAACGCAAGUCAUCAGCUUGCAUUGAUUACAUCCCUGCCCUUUGUACACACCGCCCGUCGCACCUACCGAUUGAAUGGUCCGGUGAAAUCUCGGGACGGCGGCUCGGUCGCUUGCGUCCGACUGCUGAAACUUGAUUAAACCAUAUCAUUUAGAGGAAGGUGAAGUCGUAACA